rnacentral:rRNA from 1 species
UGGGGAAUAUUGCGCAAUGGACGAAAGUCUGACGCAGCGACGCCGCGUGAGGGAUGAAGGUUUUCGGAUCGUAAACCUCUGUCAGAAGGGAAGAAAGCGCAUAGUGCUAAUCAAGUGUGCGUUGACGGUACCUUCAAAGGAAGCGCCGGCUAACUCCGUGCCAGCAGCCGCGGUAAUACGGAGGGCGCAAGCGUUAAUCGGAAUUACUGGGCGUAAAGCGCACGUAGGCUGUUGUGUAAGUCAGGGGUGAAAGCCCACGGCUCAACCGUGGAAUUGCCUUUGAUACUGCGCGACUUGAAUCCGGGAGAGGGUGGCGGAAUUCCAGGUGUAGGAGUGAAAUCCGUAGAUAUCUGGAGGAACACCAGUGGCGAAGGCGGCCACCUGGACCGGUAUUGACGCUGAGGUGCGAAAGCGUGGGGAGCAAACAGG